GGUUUGGUUUGGUGAGGAAGAUUGGCCCUGGGCUAGCAUCUGUUGCCAAUCUUCCUCUUCUUGCUUGAGGAAGAUGGUCCCUGAGCUAACAUCCGUGCGUGUCUUUCCCUAUUUUUUGCAUGUGGGAUGCUGCCACAGCAUGACUUGAUGAGUGGUGUGUAAGUCCCUGCCUGAGAUCUGACCCCACGAACCCCUGGCCCUGAGCUAACAUCCAUGCCCAUCUUCCUCUACUUUAUAUGUGGGACGCCCCCUCAGCAUGGCCUGAUGAGCAGUGCCAUGUCCGCGCCCAGGAUCCAAACCAGCGAAACCCUGGGCCGCUGAAGUGGAGCGUGUGAACUUAACCACUCGGCCACAGGGCCAGCCCCUAACACUCAGUUUUUUAAUCUCUGAAAUAGGAGUAACAAUUCCUCUUUCUCAUGGAUGCCAGAAGAGCAAUUGAAAGAACCUAGCUGAAGGACCUAGUGCAAUGUUCUUUGACUAGAUUCUCAAUAAGUGAUUGUUAAUAAUAACGAUGAUAAUGCUUAAAAAAUAGAAUACUUCAAUGAGAAGUCCAUUUUUAAGCAGGGUUUUGAAAUAAAAACAUGAUAUGGAGAAAAAUUAUUUUGUCAGUUUGUUUAAACCUCAUCUCUGCCACUCAGCUCUCCCUGGAGCCCAAUUAUUCUGGUUUCUCCAAAGCUCUCUCUCCAAGGAGAUAUCUAAGUGAGGGCAAGAAAGCAGAGCUUCCAAAAACCAAGGCAGAUAGAGAGAGCAUCACGGGAGAAAGUUGUCUGCGGGGACUCCUGAAGGCCAGAUUUCUGCUCUAUGGCUGUCAAGAAGAAGAGAGAUUUCAACUUUUUUUUUUUGAGGAAGAUUAGCCCUGAGCUAACUACUGCCAAUCCUCCUCUUUUUGCUGAGGAAGCCUGGCCCUGAGCUAACAUCCAUGCUCAUCUUCCUCCACUUUAUAUGUGGGACGCCUGCCACAGCUUGGUGUGCCAAGUGGUACCAUGUCCGCACCUGGGAUCCAAACCAGCAAACCCCGGGCUGCCGAAGUGGAGGGUGUGCACUUAACCGCUGUGCCACCCGGCCAGUGCCAAGAUUUCACCAUUUUAAGUCUUUCUCAAUCAGCCAAAGGAAGGCAGAUGUCAAGGUGCGUCUGAAGGAGGCGUUGAGGGUGUUGAGGGAGAAGGCAGCCAGACUCUAUUCUGGGAGUGUCAAGUUUUAGUCACCUGCAGGCAAACUCUUAGUGCGUGUUGUUCUGCUGUGUCCGGAGGGAUUAUCAAAUAGCAAGAAGCCUCUGGAGUCGGCCUCCUGCCCCCGGAGAACCAGCAGUAUUUGCAGAAAAGCAUGAGGUCACUGGCCUUCCACUUGCAUCUGACAUUUGCCUCCCAGGGUUUGAGAUUCUAAAAAAAGGAGGGAAGGGUGGACCAUGCUGAAAGAAGGAGUCCUCCUGACUUGGAGCCAGGACCCUGUGGGAAAUAGAAAGGACCACGUGCAGACAACUCUCAGGGCUGGAAGAGUCCACCCCACCUCCAGGGGAGAUCAGGGGCCCCGGACUGAGGAGAAGCGGAUGGAGAACUCAGAAGCGUGUGCAUUCCAGGCCCUGUGCUGUGCCCCCAUCACUGGUCCAGGCCUUCUGAGAUGGGAGUUAGGAGCGGGGAGGAGAAGAAUGCCCUGAUAACGGUUUUGGUGUCUUCAGUGGUUGUUCCGUAAAAUCUCAUAGGAAGAGGCCGUGUGGCCACUGUCAGGUCCCCCUCAGGGACUGCUGCUUCAAUCAUUUCCAGUGACCACUUUGGAUGAAAUCUGGAAAAACAUAAGGAAAAUAUUAAACUGCCUGAGGAGAAUGAAAGAGAGCUUCCAGAUCCCUUUAAACUAGCAUUGCUGGGCACUGCGAACUCUCAGCACAUUUCAGCCAGGCCAGCAUAAGAGAU
rnacentral:lncRNA from 1 species